CGGCUGAAUGAGUGGCUUCACUUUCAUCACAUAUUUAUUUGACGCAGCCCAUUGUGUCGCUUCUCCUGCGAUCAACUACAAAGCAGCCUGGUGGGCGCCUCAGUCGUUCAGUCGUUAAACUUGCGCCACCACGAUCGUUACAUAGCGCUGUGCGCCGUAAUAAAAUAAAGUUCAAAGAGUGCAAGUGGAUAAAAAGAGUGCAGUUCAAUAAAUUUUCUUUGUUUUAAAGUGAACCCAUAAAUAAGUUAUUUUAUUUUGGAUGUCAUAUUAAGGUGUAUGUGGGAUAUUCUGUGAAUAUUUUUAGUUAAUAAAUCUGUAACCAGUCUUUAUCUUAUUUUUCGUCCAAUUCCCAAACACAACAACAAA